GAUGAACGCUGGCGGCGUGCCUAAUACAUGCAAGUCGAGCGAAUGGAUUAAGAGCUUGCUCUUAUGAAGUUAGCGGCGGACGGGUGAGUAACACGUGGGUAACCUGCCCAUAAGACUGGGAUAACUCCGGGAAACCGGGGCUAAUACCGGAUAACAUUUUGAACCGCAUGGUUCGAAAUUGAAAGGCGGCUUCGGCUGUCACUUAUGGAUGGACCCGCGUCGUAUUAGCUAGUUGGUGAGGUAACGGCUCACCAAGGCAACGAUGCGUAGCCGACCCGGGAGGGUGAUCGGCCACACUGGGACUGAGACACGGCCCAGACUCCUACGGGAGGCAGCAGUAGGGAAUCUUCCGCAAUGGACGAAAGUCUGACGGAGCAACGCCGCGUGAGUGAUGAAGGCUUUCGGGUCGUAAAACUCUGUUGUUAGGGAAGAACAAGUGCUUGUUGAAUAAGCUGGCACCUUGACGGUACCUAACCAGAAAGCCACGGCUAACUACGUGCCAGCCGCCGCCGUAA
rnacentral:rRNA from 1 species